rnacentral:rRNA from 1 species
GUUAUCCGGAAUCACUGGGUUUAAAGGGUGCGUAGGSGGCACUAUAAGUCAGGGGUGAAAGCCCACAGCUCAACUGUGGAAUUGCCUUUGAUACUGUAGAGCUUGAAUCAGGUUGAGGUCGGCGGAAUGUGACAUGUAGCGGUGAAAUGCAUAGAUAUGUCAUAGAACACCAAUUGCGAAGGCAGCUGGCUAGACCUGUAUUGACGCUGAGGCACGAAAGCGUGGGGAGCGAACAGGAUUAGAUACCCUGGUAGUCCACGCCCUAAACGAUGCUUACUGGACGUGUGGUCUUCGGAUUGCGCGUCUGAKGGAAACCAUUAAGUAAGCCACCUGGGGAGUACGUCGGCAACGAUGAAACUCAAAUGAAUUGACGG